rnacentral:rRNA from 1 species
AUCUGGUUGAUCCUGCCAGAGGCGACCGCUAUUGGAGUUCGAUUAAGCCAUGCGAGUAGAAAGAAAUUAGAUUCUUUGCAUACUGCUCAGUAACACGUGGAUAACCUGCCCUACACUGGGGGAUAAUCUCGGGAAACUGAGCAUAAUACCCCAUAGACCACUACGCCUGGAACGGUGAGUGGUUGAAAGCUUCGGCGGUGUAGGAUGGGUCUGCGGCGUAUCAGGUUGUAGGGGGUGUAAUGGACCUCCUAGCCAUCGACGCGUACGGGUUGUGGGAGCAAUAGCCCGGAGACGGAUUUUGAGACACGAAUCCGGACCCUACGGGGUGCAGCAGGCGCGAAAACUUCACACUGCAGGAAACUGUGAUGAGGGAACUCCAAGUGACUGCACAAUGUGUAGCCUUUUCUUGAAUUUUAAUAGUUCUUGGAAUAAGGGCUGGGAAAGACCGGUGCCAGCCGCCGCGGUAAUACCGGCAGCUCGAGUGGUCGUCGCUUUUAUUGGGCCUAAAACGUCCGUAGCCUGUUUGGUAAAUCUGUGGGUAAAUCAAUCCGCUUAACGGAUUGAAUUCUGCAGAGACUGCCAGACUAGGGACCGGGAGAGGUAUGAGGUACUCUGGG